GGCGUGUGAGUGAGGACUCUCCGCUGGAAUUUGUACCGAGAAGAGCCCAGAUGGCGCCUUUGGUGUUCCGUUUCUGGAUGGUUGCCUGGAUCCGGAUUUUGUGCCUCAGGGGAAACCCAGAGAUGCUGUCAAGGUCUUCCUAAUGUGCUUACACCUCGAAGGGCUUGCACAGAUAAGUCCUAAGUAUUUGGUUAGUUGGAGAGCUGCCACAUAUGAGUGGGAUGGUUACCCCUGCCAUCAGCUGAGAGCACCCAGACCUUGGCCCUCUUGGUCAAUCAACAGCGUGGAAUCGUGUCCCUGAGCCCGGUGUGGAUGCUGGAGGUGUGACUGGAGGUGUAGGUGAUCCAGCUUCCCCUCUGCGAUCCAGGAUGCGUGGGAGUCCGUCAUCUCGCAUGGAGUGUGGCCAGGGAAGGCGUUGCCAAGUCCUCAGCUCUUUCCUGUGCUGGAGCCCCGCUGGAAUCCCAGGGCUUCCUACGUUGUGUUAGGUCCGGAAAGAGGAAAGGAUACAUCUAGAAGAGGGAAAUACUCCCCGAGGUCAUCUCCUGGGCUAAAGGAACUCCUGAAGGAAAUGGAGAAGGCAGCGCGUGGAAGUGACCAACCAUCUGCACAGGACACGCUGCGGUUUGGCAGCCAUCCCACACUGCCAGUCUCGGCCAGAGGAGCACAGACAGCGCCGACAACUGGCAUGCCAGGGGUGGAUGCUGGGAAAAACACAAGGGCUGUGCUUCAGGAGUUUCUGCAGGUGCACUUCACCCUAGUGAUCGCAGUGCUUGUAACUGUGCUGCUGUCUGGGCUGGUGAUGACCUGUAUUGCUGUGUCGUGGAUGUGGCACAAAUAUCCAGUGUGCAAGAGGGCAGAGACAGCUCCAGGACAAGCUCAUCCUGAGAGUGACCGGGAGAGAGGCCAAUCUGGAGGUGAAGGCAGAGCGGAGCUGGGAGAGGCAACAGAAGAUGCCGUAGUUGCCCAAGAAAAGAAGAAUGUGUCCAGCGGAUCCAGCCCGUUCCCCUCCUCCUUUGAAGCGGAGUUUGAACAGCUGUGCAGCAAAAUCAGCACAGACCCUUCCCUUUGGCCCACGUGUACCAGCAGCUCUCCCACGGACGGCAUCUCUUCCCCAGAUGCUCGCGGUUCUCGGGGUUCCCCAUAGCCAUCUAGUGCUCCGGUUACCUGUGUCAGCAGGGCUGGGGUCCCCUGGAAGACCCCGCUUUGUGAGUAAUAAAGACACCCUGUGC
rnacentral:lncRNA from 7 species